GAUGAACGCUGGCGGCGUGCCUAAUACAUGCAAGUCGAGCGAACAGACGAGGAGCUUGCUCCUCUGACGUUAGCGGCGGACGGGUGAGUAACACGUGGAUAACCUACCUAUAAGACUGGGAUAACUUCGGGAAACCGGAGCUAAUACCGGAUAAUAUAUUGAACCGCAUGGUUCAAUAGUGAAAGACGGUUUUGCUGUCACCUAUAGAUGGAUCCGCGCCGCAUUAGCGAGUUGGUAAGGUAACGGCUUACCAAGGCAACGAUGGGUAGCCGACCUGAGAGGGUGAUCGGCCACACUGGAACUGAGACACGGUCCAGACUCCUACGGGAGGCAGCGGUAGGGAAGCUUCCGCAAUGGGCGAAAGCCUGACGGAGCAACGCCGCGUGAAUGAUGAAGGUCUUCGGAUCGUAAAACUCUGUUAUUAGGGAAGAACAAAUGUGUAAGUAACUAUGCACGUCUUGACGGUACCUAAUCAGAAAGCCACGGCUAACUACGUG
rnacentral:rRNA from 1 species